rnacentral:lncRNA from 1 species
AGCUACUCCUCAAGAUCCUCUCUGUUGUGAUUCAUCCCCCCGGGGCCCUACAGUUUCUCCUUCCUGACUCUUACAUUUCUUUGGAUGGCAUCAUUAUUUACCUGUCUCCUCCCAUAGUUAGGUGCCAAGCACUGUGGAUUCUGCCUCUCAGUGUCCAGACACCCAUUUUCCUUCCCACUGUUCCUUCCCCAUGGAGAAGCCUGUGGCUGGCUGACAGCAGAGAGAGAUGCUCAACUUGGAGAAGGUGUUACCUGGGCCAGGUGGGGAAGGUUUGUUUGCAGAGCAAAGAAGUGAAGCCUAUUCAACGUGAAAAAGAUGAGGAUGAAGACCUUUAUUAUGAUCCACUUCCAAGUAAUGAACACACUGGAGAAAGUCAGACAGUCAAAACAAUGUCCCAGACUCCGUGAAGUUCCUGGGUAGAGAAGGAGACAGACAUAUACCAUACCUAAUAAUUGGAUGUCCGAGAGAAUGAGAGAAUGGCAGAAAGAACUUUAGAGCAUGGGUAUGAUGGCUAGAGCUUGAGCAGCCAUUGUGGACAUCAGAUGAACUUGAAAGUGAAAACUAUGAGCUGAAUACGACAAAGCAAACAGAUAGAAAACUGGAUUCAUUAUGACAUUGCAAAGCUGCCAGACCAGCUCUAGUCUGCUUCCCCCUAAUCUUCCUUACUAAGAGAGAGAAAUAAACUUCCAUCUUCUUCAAG